ACUCAGAGUCCUGGGCUUACGCAAUUGGUGAGAAAUGGAAGCCUGCUUGCUCUGGGUGCUCCUGCUCCAGGUUCAUCUCAGCAAUUUGCCUGACAGAGGUGCUGAUCUUAUCAUUUGUUUCCCCUCUGGAGUGUGAUUGUGAAUCGGGAUUGUGGUUUAACAAAAUGAAGAUUGGAGAGAAUUAAUAUUCCAUUGUUCAGUGGACAGAUUGACUGGGAGGAGAUGGAACGGUGGUCUGACAUAGAAUUGGAGGCAGCAUAAAAGGUUUAAUUCUUGUUUCAGUCCUGAGGGGGUAAGAUAUUUUCUUUGGUCUAUUUUUUUACAAUAAAGAAAAAAAACCUUUACUCA
rnacentral:lncRNA from 1 species